CGCAACCUUUCGGGGUUGAGUGGCGGACGGGUGAGUAACGCGUGAGAAUCUGCCUUUUGGUCGGGGACAACCACUGGAGACGGUGGCUAAUACCGGAUGUGCCUUUAGGGGUGAAAGAUUAAUUGCCAGAAGAAGAGCUCGCGUCUGAUUAGCUAGUUGGUGAGGUAAAGGCUCACCAAGGCGGCGAUCAGUAGCUGGUCUGAGAGGAUGACCAGCCACACUGGGACUGAGACACGGCCCAGACUCCUACGGGAGGCAGCAGUGGGGAAUUUUCCGCAAUGGGCGAAAGCCUGACGGAGCAAUACCGCGUGAGGGAGGAAGGCUCUUGGGUUGUAAACCUCUUUUAUCAGGGAAGAACCAAAUGACGGUACCUGAAGAAUCAGCAUCGGCUAACUCCGUGCCAGCAGCCGCGGUAAUACGGAGGAUGCAAGCGUUAUCCGGAAUUAUUGGGCGUAAAGCGUCCGCAGGUGGCUCAUCAAGUCUGCUGUCAAAGGCAGGGGCUUAACCCCUGAAAGGCAGUGGAAACUGGAGAGCUAGAGUGCAGUAGGGGUAGAGGGAAUUCCCGGUGUAGCGGUGAAAUGCGUAGAGAUCGGGAAGAACAUCGGUGGCGAAAGCGCUCUGCUGGACUGCAACUGACACUAAAGGACGAAAGCUAGGGGAGCGAAUGGGAUUAGAUACCCCAGUAGUCCUAGCCGUA
rnacentral:rRNA from 1 species